GUUUGGAGAAAGAGGAAAAAAAAAAAAAACUUAUUGUAACUGCAAAAGUCUUGAUUCAAGCAAACUCUAAUUGUGACAUGUACAAUAUACAAGGCCCUGACGUGAGUGAUAGAGUAGUCGUGAAACUGCGUGAAGUGAGCACACCAGUGCGUGGUGAAAUUGUGUGCUUAGUCCAAGAUUAGCUUGUGGAAUGGUGGUAUCUUGGAUGGUAUGUAGUGGAUCGUAGGGAGUGCCUGAAAGAAAACCUUAAAUUGAGAGCGUGCAAAGUGAGCCUGUGUAGUCUUGUCUUACUGGUAGUGGCUGGAGAUGGGAUACCCCUGUGACUGAGCUCUGCUGACAUUUUUUAAAUGUACC